GUGUGCGGACAUUUUGCUUGUUCUCUCUGACAUUUUUGGUGUUUGACGGCUAGUUGCGCUGUGACAGUCGAUAGAAAGUUUACACAAGUGUUGCUUUGAGGUACAGUUCACACCAGUGUUGCUUUGCUGUUUUUUCCUGUCGUUUACAAGCUUCAGUCGAGUCAAGAGUCCGGAGUCUUCGCUGACCGAGGUUCUACUACUCUGCGGAAGACCGAGACGACGUUGGAACAACAACAUACGCUAUGGCAAACAACCCAAGGGCCACCAUGUCUCCUUUCCAAGUUCCUCGCCAGGCUGCAGACAGUUGUCCAGAUCUAUUCGUACCACCCACAGAUCUGUCAGGGAUAU